rnacentral:rRNA from 1 species
UACGUAGGGGGCAAGCGUUGUCCGGAAUCAUUGGGCGUAAAGAGCGUGUAGGCGGCCCGAUAAGUCCGCUGUGAAAGUCCAGGGCUCAACCCUGGAAUGCCGGUGGAUACUGUCGGGCUCGAAUCCGGAAGAGGUGAGUGGAAUUCCUGGUGUAGCGGUGAAAUGCGCAGAUAUCAGGAGGAACACCAAUGGCGAAGGCAGCUCACUGGGACGGUAUUGACGCUGAGACGCGAAAGCGUGGGGAGCAAAAGGG